rnacentral:rRNA from 1 species
UACAGAGGUCUCAACCGUUGUUCGGAUUCAUUGGGCGUAAAGGGUGCGUAGGUGGCGCCGUAAGUCAGGUGUGAAAUCUCGGGGCUCAACCCCGAAACUGCACUUGAUACUGCGGUGCUCGAGUACUGGAGAGGAGAUUGGAAUUUACGGUGUAGCAGUGAAAUGCGUAGAUAUCGUAAGGAAGACCAGUGGCGAAGGCGAAUCUCUGGACAGUUACUGACACUGAGGCUCGAAGGCCAGGGGAGCAAACGGG